rnacentral:rRNA from 1 species
GAUGAACGCUGGCGGCGUGCCUAAUACAUGCAAGUCGAGCGAAUGGAUUAAGAGCUUGCUCUUAUGAAGUUAGCGGCGGACGGGUGAGUAACACGUGGGUAACCUGCCCAUAAGACUGGGAUAACUCCGGGAAACCGGGGCUAAUCCCGGAUAACAUUUUGAACCGCAUGGUUCGAAAUUGAAAGGCGGCUUCGGCUGUCACUUAUGGAUGGACCCGCGUCGCAUUAGCUAGUUGGUGAGGUAACGGCGCACCAAGGCAACGAUGCGUAGCCGACCUGAGAGGGUGAUCGGCCACACUGGGACUGAGACCCGGCCCAGCCUCCUACGGGAGGCAGCAGUAGGGAAUGUUCCGCAAUGGACGAAAGUCUGACGGAGCAACGCCGCGUGAGUGAUGAAGGCUUUCGGGUCGUAAAACUCUGUUGUUAGGGAAGAACAAGUGCUAGUUGAAUAAGCUGGCACCUUGACGGUACCUAACCAGAAAGCCACGGCUAACUACGUGCCAGCCGCCGCCGUAA